GGCGGUCGCCUCCUAAAAGGUAACGGAGGCGUGCAAAGGUUCCCUCAGGCAGGUUGGAAAUCAGUCGUAGAGUGUAAAGGCAUAAGGGAGCUUGAUUGUGAGACAUACAAGUCGAACAAAGACGAAAGUCGGCCUUAGUGAUCCGGCGGUACCGAGUGGAAGGGCCGUCGCUCAACGGAUAAAAGUUACUCUAGGGAUAACAGGCUGAA
rnacentral:rRNA from 1 species